rnacentral:rRNA from 1 species
AGAGUGAACGCUGGCGGCAGGCCUAACACAUGCAAGUCGAGCGGCAGCGCGGUGGUAGCAAUACCAUUGGCGGCGAGCGGCGGACGGGUGAGGAACACAUCGGAAUCUACCCUGUCGUGGGGGACAACGUAGGGAAACUUACGCUAAUACCGCAUACGACCUUUGGGUGAAAGCGGGGGACUCGCAAGAGCCUCGCGCGAUUGGAUGAGCCGAUGUCCGAUUAGCUAGUUGGCGGGGUAAUGGCCCACCAAGGCGACGAUCGGUAGCUGGUCUGAGAGGACGACCAGCCACACUGGAACUGAGACACGGUCCAGACUCCUACGGGUGGCAGCAGUUUCGAAUCAUUCACAAUGGGC